rnacentral:misc_RNA from 2 species
UUCUCAAUACCCUAAAUCUUUGCGGAUGAGGGUGUAUUGGACUUGGAGGUUUUUGCAGGCAAUAUUACUUUGUCGGCUCCUCUUAAAUACAUUAGCAGAGAUAUUACUGCUACUCUCCAGCGUGAUAAUUGUCUACGCUGUUAGUAGUGCGGUAUAUAAACAUCUAUGCUUCUAAUCGUCUUCGGACAAUUCUUUGAC